CAAGAACACGCAGCCCUGAGCAGCGUCAACAAAACAAACAAUUAAAAUACAGAUUAAAACCAGCGGGGCCACAUGGGGGAUGUGGGGCUCUGUAUGAAUGAGGAUGGAGGUCGGAAGGUCCAGCACUUCAGGAAAAUGGUUUACAGCGGCGCCUGGUGGUCACAUGGCCGAACUGCAGCAGCUUCAGUCAAAGACUGCAGGUUGCCUCAUUCAGCUGCUGAAUGCCUUGUUCCUCCUCUGCCUCAGCUUGGCUCUCAUUAAGAUAUUUUAUUAACUCUCCAUAACAACUGUCCCCCCAUACGGCUUCUUCAGUCGGGCUAAUCCCUACAUAUUUGACCAAUUGUGGAUGUUUGAGCAUUUUCACCUGAAGUGGGAGGGAACCGUG